GGCUGAUUUGCUAUCCAAUGAAAAAAUUUACCAAAUGCCAGGUAAAACACUCUCAACGGAUGAAUGAUCCUCCCCUCAGACCUUGGGUAGCAAUAGCGAAAGAUGGUCAGAUCCUGUGCUGCCACUGUACCUGCAUGGCUGGAUUGGGUGAAACAUGUUCACAUUCAGCAGCAUCCCUGUUCGCCCUGGAGACAUUAAUACGUAUGAAGACGGCCACUUCAUGCACAUCACUACCUUGUCAGUGGCUGAAACCAUCAGCAUCGCACAUAGAAUAUGCUGAAGGAUGCAAUAUCGAUUUUGCCCGUCCAGCCCAGAAACGAAAGUCAGAAGU